ensembl:lncRNA
UUAUAGAAGCAGACAAACCAAGAACUUCAAACUUUCACUACACUGCAUUAACACCCUUCCCCUUGGCUCGGUGAGAUCGUUCCUCCAUUAUAGGAACUCUGUCAGCUGGACAGAGCGAUCAGGGCUCCCAGAAUUAAACUAAGAUUAAACACAGGUAGUGGAUCAAAGAGAUGGAGCUAAAGAAAAUACUUCCGCCCCGAUCACCCAGAUUUGUAGCUUGUGUUCCGUCCGACUGAGGAAUGCUGAGGAAUCGACGCUCUGAUUUGUGAGACUAUGCUAGCACUAAAUCUGCCGCGGAUUAUGCUACAAGGUAAACGUGGCUUCCUAAACCAGCCAGAGCGGAGAGAGGAUGUCAACCUCACUUCUCUCUCCCUCCCCCAACAGGACAAGAUUUAUGGCCCUUGUCGCGGCGGGAUUGGAUGUCGGCCCGCUUCACGUCUGGGUCAGUGCAGAGAACACGGGAGCCCCAUACGUGACCAGGAGCGACCAGGACGUCAUGCACGGCCGACCGCUUGGCAUGUGGUCGCGUCUCGGGACACGUUCACCGGCGUCUGAGUCCUG